rnacentral:rRNA from 1 species
CAUGCAGUCGAGGGGUACAGGGAAGCUUGCUUUCGCUGACGACCGGCGCACCGCGUGCGUAACGCGUAUACAAUCUACCUUAUACUGGAGAAUAGCCCUAAGAAAUUGGGAUUAAUACUCCAUAGUAUUUAGAAACCACCCUGGUUUUUAAAUUAAAGUUUCGGCGGUAUAAGAUGAGUAUGCGUCCUAUUAGUUAGUUGGUGAGGUAACGGCUCACCAAGACAGCGAUAGGUAGGGGGCCUGAGAGGGUUAUUCCCCACACUGGUACUGAGACGCGGACCAGACUCCUACGGGAGGCAGCAGUGAGGAAUAUUGGUCAAUGGAGGCAACUCUGAACCAGCCAUGCCGCGUGAAGGAAGAAUGUCCUAUGGAUUGUAAACUUCUUUUAUUUGGGAAGAAACCCUUCUACGUGUAGAAGGCUGACGGUACCAAAAGAAUAAGGACCGGCUAACUCCGUGCCAGCAGCCGCGGUAAUACGGAGGGUCCAAGCGUUAUCAGGAAUCAUUGGGUUUAAAGGGUUCGCAGGCGGUUUAAUAAGUCAGUGGUGAAAUCCCGUAGCUCAACUAUGGAACUGCCAUUGAUACUGUUAGACUUGAAUACAGUUGGAGUAGGCGGAAUGUGUAGUGUAGCGGUGAAAUGCUUAGAUAUUACACAGAACACCGAUAGCGAAGGCAGCUUACUAAACUGUGAUUGACGCUCAUGAACGAAAGCGUGGGGAGCGAACAGGAUUAGAUACCCUGGUAGUCCACCCGUAAACUAUGAUUACUCGAUAUUGGCGACAUACGGUCAGUGUCUAAGCGAAAGUGAUAAGUAAUCCAUCUGGGGAGUACGGUCG